AUGAACGCUGGCGGCGUGCCUAAUACAUGCCAGUCGAGCGAACGGACGAGAAGCUUGCUUCUCUGAUGUUAGCGGCGGACGGGUGAGUAACACGUGGAUAACCUACCUAUAAGACUGGGAUAACUUCGGGAAACCGUAGCUAAUACCGGAUAAUAUUUUGAACCGCUUGGUUCAAAAGUGAAAGACGGUCUUGCUGUCACUUAUAGAUGGAUCCGCGCUGCAUUAGCUAGUUGGUAAGGUAACGGCUUACCAAGGCAACGAUGCAUAGCCGACCUGAGAGGGUGAUCGGCCACACUGGAACUGAGACACGGUCCAGACUCCUACGGGAGGCAGCAGUAGGGAAUCUUCCGCAAUGGGCGAAAGCCUGACGGAGCAACGCCGCGUGAGUGAUGAAGGUCUUCGGAUCGUAAAACUCUGUUAUUAGGGAAGAACAUAUGUGUAAGUAACUGUGCACAGCUUGACGGUACCUAAUCAGAAAGCCACGGCUAACUACGUG
rnacentral:rRNA from 1 species